UAUUUUCAAAACUACAAUUUCCAGGCUAAGAGUCUCUGCUAAUGCUACAACGUGAUUCCUUUCUCUGGUUUGGAUGGGCACAUGGAUGAUUGAAACAGACUUAACAAUUACUAAGUGAUGCAGGACAGCCGUCAGAUGACUUCUAAAACCGCUGCUCUGAUGUAAAGGUUAUGAACACGUGCUGCCGGUAGACAUAUGCCCUCAUAGCCAUUAAGUGAAUGGUAGCACCCAAGUUUAUCUGUAAAAUUCUGUCAGUCAUUUUCAAAUCUCAAACGCUCAAAAUACUCAUUUCAUGCACUUAAAGCUAUAGAUCAACAUCAUUUUAGCCGGCUGCAGUUUUUUGUCAUACCAAUGACUAAUGUACAAAUAAACAUCUGGCCUAUUUUAUCACAUUUGUGAUAAAUGGUAGCUUUUUUUACAGCCUUAACCAGCUAAUUUGUUUGUUUGUUGAUUCAUUUGGGAUAUCACAUCUUCACAUAGCCCAAAGCCACCAUGCCUCUUGAUUUAAUUGAUUAUCCACAGACAAAAUGCUUUCCCUUUCUCUGAGCUUUGAAGUCUAAACUGAUAACAGUUGAGAGAAAUCUGAGGGAUUGCAUUCAGAGGACAGCUGUAUUUCAUUUAUCUUUUGUGGGAAAAUGAAUGCUGUGAUUGCUGAGUGCCUUUUUAUUCAGUGAAAUACUGCAGGGGGCAUUGGGGUACGGAUGUGAGAUUAAAGACAAACAGUGCCCUGUAAGUGAUGAUUUAUUAAAGAUUCACUUUGAGUCAAAUGACUGCCUUUUGGUGUGUAAUGCUCAUACAGCCAGGGACACUUAAAGGGAGAGUGAAAAAUAACAGGCCAAACAAUAAUCCCUCUUUGUUUGCUGAUAAAUACACAAUUUGCAGCACAGCUGCACUGUUUUUCCUCGGCCUCAUCCUUGGCUUCCUCUGCUGUUUCCACAUGAGAGGAUUGAAAGCUUUGCUGCUUUCAAAAGCUGUUAUCAAAGCAGCAGCAUAGAGAAAGAAAAGGACACUGCUCUGGAGGUGAAUAUUGAUCUACAAUCAGGCCUUUAAGACUGUCCAGCUGUACAGGGAGAUGGGGGGCAUGAGAUUCGGUCUGUCAUUUCUCAGCUGGAGGCUAUUAUUGACAUGACCCAACAGUAAGUAGACACACACACUGUUCACACAUUGCCCCUCUUACUCAAGGGAAUUCCUAUAAUACAUCCCAUCAAGUAUCUGCGUAUAUCCACAAAGAGACAUGACUAAAACACACAUUUGUAGUGUGACUGAGAUUUCUCCCAAAUCUAGGUCUAGAUAGGAUUAUACCCUAAAACACACAAGGGGGUGUUUGUGACUAUGAUUCAUUUUAUCUAUAGGUGUAUUAUCCUGUUGGUGCUAUAAGGGUAAAUCAAAACAUGUUACACUGACUGUUAUUUGUCUUAAUGUUUACAUGCUAAUAAAGAUACAUAUGUAGAGCUAUAAAGUGUAGCUGUUAUUUUUACAACAUGAUUGCUCCAUAAAGCUCAGGGAAGAGGACCACAGCAAUUUGUUCAUUUGUAAUGGAGGGUACCAGAUCCUUUUUUUUUUCUACAUGAAAGAUUAAUUGUCUCGGUUUCCCACCCGAGAUUGUAUUUCUCACUGUGAUGUAGUAAUGCUGUCAAAGUAAGUAGAAAAACAAGGAGCAAAUGUGCCUGAAAAGACUGAUCUGUGUGAGCUGAAAAUGUGUGUACAGAGACAAAAAAGAAGAGACAUCACCUGGAAAUAACAUGUUUAGGUUGAGACAGUAAAGCCAGAUGCAAAGCUAUAAACACAGGACUGGUGCUGUUAGACACGUUUUCUUUCCCUCUGGACUUGUUCUACAGUUUGGGAAACUCACAGUAUUGAAACCAAAGAGGAAAGCAAGGCAGCAAGUCUGGAUCUCUUUGAAAGUGAGCAGAUUUUUUGGCUUUGGAGUGUCUCUGUGUUUCAUCUCUGUUUUACUGCAAGCAAUACUGAGCUACCUCAUAUUUCCAUGAGCAGUUGAGUAGAUAAUGUCAUUCAUUUCAGCUAUGCACAUCUUUUACCAAACCUCAUUAUGUAAAAAUAUUUCCCUCCAUAUUAGUUAGUGUAAUAGAGGCGAUACUUUCAGAGACAGAUGUCUCUGAAUUUCCAGAUUAAAAACCUUCUGCCUCCCGUAGAUGUCAUUAGAGUAAGACAUUAUUUGCCUGUCGUUUGGGUGAGAUAAUCCUUUAACAAAUGUGGAAUAAAGUAGAGUCUUUGUUUCAUUUGCCAAAUGCAAAACAUCCGUCACUUUAUGUGUCACGUCUCUUAAUCCAGACAUUGUGUCUUCAGUCAGUUUUCCUGUUUUCUCUCCUCUGUCAUUGAGCUGGAAAAGAACGGUUUUGAUGCUCACACGCAGACACAAACAGAUGUCUACAAGCAUUUCUGUGUCACAAACUAUCUGUCUUCUCCUCUCUGAUCAGAGCAGACAGUAUGUAGUGGAAAAGUUGUGUGCUUUGCAUUAUUUGUUUUCUAAAAAGUUAAACAGCUGCGAGUCACAGAGCAUCCUCCGUAGACAGACUGACAGCAGCUCAAAGCAGAACUGCGUAUGAACGGCAUUUUCCAUAGGGAGGAAAAGAGAAAGGGAAUAGUGAGUGAAGCGCUAUACGGAUUUUUUUACAGUUUACCUUCUUUGUUGCAUGUUGAAACUCAUGAGUUGUCGUGUGGCUGUGUACGUUUUUCCUCUCAUUAGAGAACAGAUCUGAUUGAGCAGAAAUAAUAAACAAAACAAAUUUAGUGGUAAGGAAUACUGGUGUGUUUGCAUUAUGCAAUCUGCUGUUCAAACAAAGUGGUUUACACCUUUUUAAUCGGUAACCACUGAGCGUGAUUCAACUGCAAAGUAACUGAGUCACGACCACUUUAGUUAAUUUUUGCGUGCAAUAAGUUGGAUUGGUUAGCUCAGUUGGGUUCCUGUCCUUCCACAUGGUAGACAUAAAAGUUAAUAGGAAAUCACUGGUGGAUUGUUUUUUGAACCAGGGAUCAGCAAUUACAGAAGCUCUAAUCCCCUGAUGCAAUCUUUUGAAACAUGAAGACAAUUCCCUUCAUGAGAUAGGCUGGAGCAGUAAAGGCCAGAGAAAAUAGAGCAGCUUCCAGUGAAACGGAAACACUGGAUGACGUAGAGACAUUAGUGGUUUUACGGUUUGCUACCAAUAGCAUGAGCGGAUUGUUUUAUGGAUAAGCAAAAUAUCUAACCAAAGAGAUCAGUGUGGGGACUGUGGAGUGUCCUGGAGAGGCAAAUAAACUGAUUAACCCUAGAGCACUAUCGCCGGGUGAUUUUCACUUGACCAAACACGUUUACGUGAUUUUCAUUUUGUUCACUCUAAAAACUCUUGGGUUAUUUCUUCAACCCAAUUCCUGGGUUAUACAUGUUGAGUUAAAUUUCUGGGUUAUUUUUCAGGUCCAUACCCAUUUCUUGGUUCAUAUGGAUUCUACUGUAAUCCAAUUUGAGGUUUUUUUUUAAUGGGUUAAUAAUUAUGGGUUAUUUUCCUGAGAGUAACCCAAUAAUUGGGUCAGACCGUUGGGUUCGAUUGACACUACGUGGUUUCUAGGCCUAAUGGCAAUUAAAGUGACUUGGUGACCUUGUGAACUUUGACCUUGAUUUUAUAUACAAUAUGAUAUAUAGUUAUUGAGUCAACCCAAAAUUUGGGUUUUGAAUAACGCAACAUUCUGGUUGUAGUUGGUCUCUUUUCAACCCUGGUGUUGGGUUAAAAACAACUCAAGUUGGGUUGUUUUUAAUUCAGGGGUUUUUAGAAUGUUGCGUUUGUCUGAGUAUUGCAUCUAAGGUUUAAAUUCAUGUAUAACAUCUACAUCAUUGCAAGGUGGUUUGCAGAAGUAGAAGGAAGAGUAAGCAGAACACCCAUUCAGACGUCUACCAAUUGUAUGUUAUGAGUUGGCACUAAGAUCAGCUGAUGUUCUGUGGGUUGAGCUUGACUUUAUGGUCUGCCCUGACUAAUGCUACGUUAAGAUUUUACAGAACAACCACAGGACACAAUAAUAGCGUUAUCUGUUUUUUUACACAUGGGGAACGCCACAUCUGAAAGAGUUAAGAGAUAGAGAGAUAUAUUCAAAGGCUUGCCAGGGUACAUAUUACAAGACAACUGAGCUGAGCAUGUGUUCGUUGAUCUCGAGGACAGCAGAACAAACACUCUGCAGUCACUUAUGGAUCUGGAUGAAAGCCAGUCCUGGAGCAAAACGACUACAAGAGGAAGCCAUGGCAACAAAAGCAAAACGCAAGGCUUGAGUUGACACUGACAUCAAUUUUCUGCUUUGUGGCAACAACAAAAGUGUUUAAUAACAUAAAGAAAAGGAACUGCAUAGAAACUGUCACUGUAAUAGAUGUAUCAGGUAGCUAAGCAGCCAGCAAGGUUCAGCUUAACAACAGCCAGUCAUCUGCCAUGUUGGUUCCUCCAAGUGUCAUGUUUGACUGCAAGGAAUUUGCAUGAUUUUUUGCAAGAUGGUUGUUGGUGUUAAAUGGAAUCUGUUAGUGUGGGGUGUAAUGUGUUUUAUUAUGGCACUUCCUACUUAAAGCUCCAAUGAGGGUUUUUUUGACAUUAAUAAAAUAGACUGAAAUUCAUGUUGAUGGCUUAUAAUGAUAUACAAAAGCAGAAAAGACCAUCAGCGACAAGACUGAAGAUUUUUAUAACCUAAUUUUUUCAUCCGAAAUAGAUUCAAGGAGGUAGGUCCAAGC